rnacentral:piRNA from 1 species
CUGAAGAAGCUUUGAAGCCAGAC